UUUCCGUAGGUGAACCUGCGGAAGGAUCAUUAAAAAUGAAGCCGGGAAACCGGUCCUUCUAACUCUUGAUUAUCUUAAUUUGUUGCUUUGGUGGGCCGCGCAAGCACCGGCUUCGGCUGGAUCGUGCCCGCCAGAGGACACAACUCUGUAUCAAAUGUCGUCUGAGUACUAUAAAAUAGUUAAAACUUUCAACAACGGAUCUCUUGGUUCUG
rnacentral:misc_RNA from 1 species